rnacentral:rRNA from 1 species
AUACGAAGGGGGCUAGCGUUGUUCGGAAUCACUGGGCGUAAAGCGCGCGUAGGUGGAUCAAUUAGUUGAGGGUGAAAUCCCGGGGCUCAACCUCGGAACUGCCUUCAAUACCGUUGAUCUUGAGACCGAGAGAGGUGAGUGGAAUUCCUAGUGUAGAGGUGAAAUUCGUAGAUAUUAGGAAGAACACCAGUGGCGAAGGCGGCUCACUGGCUCGGUACUGACGCUGAGGUGCGAAAGCGUGGGGAGCAAACAGGAUUAGAUACCCUAGUAGUCC